AAUGAAGAGAUAGGCUAACUAAAUAUAAUAAUUUGUUGAAAUAUGAAAGGAAGAAGUAAGAGAGAGUAAUUGAGAAACUCAAGCUUCGAUUUGUGGUUGAUGCUAAAAGCUUUCAAGUACGUGGGAAUUUAUAGGUAUCAGUACUACUACUACUGUUGCUACUACUACCAAUAAUAUUAUUACUACUGCUACUACUACUAUUACUGCUACUCUGCUACUACUGUUGUUAUUGAUACUUUUGGUACAGUUGCUAUUACUGCUGCAACUGCUAAUAUUGCUACUACUGCUACUUCUAUUGUUGUUAUUACUGUUGCUGCUACUGUUACUGCUUAUAUUACUACUGUUGCUAUUAGUGCUACUAUUACUAAUACUGCUACUACUAUUGCUACUACUGCUACUGCUACUGCCACUACAACUAAUACUACUUAUUCUUCUUUUUCUUGUCCUUCUUAUUCUUCUUGUUCUUUUCUUUUGCUACAUUUUGGAGUGCAACCAAGCGAGUCCUCCUCUUACAACUACCAGCCUGGUCCAUUUCUUUUUUUGUUGUCUUAUUCAAUUUUUUGCAUAUUAUUAUUUUCCUGUACAAGUUA
rnacentral:lncRNA from 1 species